CCGUUUCCCUUUUUUUAACUCUUACUGCAUUAUCCAAAUAAGAUAUUUUAUGUUUUAUUUAUCUAUUUUUGUGGUAUUUAAUAUUUUACAUCUUUUGUGUUUCACAAUGUUGUCUCUAACUAACUCGAUAAACACUGAAAUAAGAUCAAGAAACAUCGUUACAAUGGUGCGUCUAAUCUAAUAUGAUAUUCAUUAAGAUAUCAUAAUCACAUUAUUUAAUAAAUAUCAUCAAUAUUACAUCUUCCACGAGAGUAUGAGACAAUGUAAUAUAGGGGGAUUAUUGGCAUCAAACUCAAUCUAAUAGAGUAAACAAUAGAAGAUCAUAAUGAGGGUAGUUUUGAAGAUUCAUAUAAAGAACAUGUGUUACUUUUAGCUAGCUAGCGAGAGAACCAAGGAUGUGGUGGCUGAAGGUCUUCCUUAAUUUUCCAAACACAAGUAAGAAUAUUUUCCUCUUGAUUCUUCCUCUAAUGGGAAUGAACGAGUUGCUUCUAUUAUUGCUCUUUCUUGCUGAUGCUAACUUAGUUUGAUGCCCCAAUCCCAUUACCUUUUUCUUUUUCAUAAUUGAAUGAGUAGUG
rnacentral:lncRNA from 1 species